rnacentral:rRNA from 1 species
CCUACGGGUGGCAGCAGUGGGGAAUAUUGCACAAUGGGCGAAAGCCUGACGCAGCGACGCCGCGUGAGGGAUGAAGGUCUUCGGAUCGUAAACCUCUGUCAGCAGGGAAGAACGGUCACUUUGCUAAUCAACAGUGAAUUGACGGUACCUGCAAAGGAAGCACCGUCUAACUCCGUGCCAGCAGCCCCGGUAAUCCGGAGGGUUCGAGCGUUAAUCGGAAUUACUGGGCGUAAAGCGGUCGUAGGCUGUAAGUGAAGUCGAGGGUGAAAUCCCCGCGCUCAACGCGGGAACUGCAUUUGAAACUGGCAAACUGGAGUGUGUGAGAGGAAAGUGGAAUUCCAGGUGAAGGAGUGAAAUCCGUAGAUAUCUGGAGGAACACCAGAGGCGAAGGCGACUAUCUGGCACAUAACUGACGCUGAGGAGCGAAAGCGUGGGGAGCAAACAGGAUUAGAUACCCGGGUAGUC